rnacentral:misc_RNA from 1 species
GAUGAAGAACGCAGCGAAAUGCGAUACUUGGUGUGAAUUGCAGAAUCCCGUGAACCAUCGAGUCUUUGAACGCAAGUUGCGCCCGAAGCCAUCAGGUUGAGGGCACGUCUGCCUGGGCGUCACAUAUCGUUGCCCAAUGCCUAUUGCAGUGCAAUAGGAAUUUCUAGGGCGAAUGAUGGCUUCCCGUGAGCGUUGUUGCCUCGCGGUUGGUUGAAAAUCGAGUCCUUGGUAGGGUGUGCCAUGGUAGAUGGUGGUCGAGUUAGAACGAUACCGAUCAUGUGCAUGCUCACCAAAAUAUGGCCUCUAUGACCCACACGCGUCUUUUGACGCUCAUGACGAGACCUCAGGUCAGGCGGGGCUACCCGCUGAAUUUAAGCAUAUCAAUAAGCGGAGGA